UACGGAGGGUGCAAGCGUUAAUCGGAAUUACUGGGCGUAAAGCGCGUGUAGGCGGCUUUGCAAGUCGGAUGUGGAAGCCCUCGGCUCAACCGAGGAAGUGCGUUCGAAACUGCAGAGCUUGAGUACCGGAGAGGGUGGCGGAAUUCCCCAAGUAGAGGUGAAAUUCGUAGAUAUGGGGAGGAACACCGGUGGCGAAGGCGGCCACCUGGACGGUCACUGACGCUGAGACGCGAAAGCGUGGGUAGCAAACAGG
rnacentral:rRNA from 1 species